rnacentral:rRNA from 1 species
UACGUAGGGACCGAGCGUUGUCCGGAUUCAUUGGGCGUAAAGAGCUCGUAGGCGGCCACUCAAGUCGAAUGUGAAACCUCGAGGCUCAACCUCGAGCCUGCAUUCGAUACUGGGCGGCUAGAGUCUGGUAGGGGGAUCUGGAAUUCCUGGUGUAGCGGUGGAAUGCGCAGAUAUCAGGAGGAACACCGAUGGCGAAGGCAGGUCUCUGGGCCGCAACUGACGCUGAGGAGCGAAAGCAUGGGGAGCGAACAGG